ACUCCUACGGGAGGCAGCAGUGGGGAAUAUUGCACAAUGGGGGAAACCCUGAUGCAGCCAUGCCGCGUGUGUGAAGAAGGCCUUCGGUUGUAAAGCACUUUCAGUAGGGAGGAAGGUAGUGUAGUUAACACCUGCAUUAUUUGUACGUUACCUACAGAAGAAGCACCGGCUAACUCCGUGCCAGCAGCCGCGGUAAGUACGGAGGGUGCGAGCGUUAAUCGGAAUUACGUGGGACGUAAAGCGCAUGCAGGCGGCCUGUUAAGUCAGAUGUGAAACGCCCGGGGUACGUUAACCUCGGAAUUGCUAUUUAGAAACUGGCAGGCUAGAGUCUUGUAGGAGGGGUAGUAAUUUCGAGGUGUAGCGGUAGAAAUGCGUAGAGAUCGUGAAGGAAUACCAGGU
rnacentral:rRNA from 1 species